GACGAACGCUGGCGGCGUGCUUAACACAUGCAAGUCGAACGGAAAGGCCCUGCUUUUGUGUGGUGCUCGAGUGGCGAACGGGUGAGUAACACGUGAGUAACCUGCCCUUGACUUUGGGAUAACUUCAGGAAACUGGGGCUAAUACCGGAUAGGAGCUCCUGCUGCAUGGUGGGGGUUGGAAAGUUUCGGCGGUUGGGGAUGGACUCGCGGCUUAUCAGCUUGUUGGUGGGGUAGUGGCUUACCAAGGCUUUGACGGGUAGCCGGCCUGAGAGGGUGAACGGCCACAUUGGGACUGAGAUACGGCCCAGACUCCUACGGGAGGCAGCAGUGGGGAAUAUUGCACAAUGGGCGGAAGCCUGGUGCAGCAACGCCGCGUGCGGGAUGACGGCCUUCGGGUUGUAAACCGCUUUCGCCUGUGACGAAGCGUGAGUGACGGUAAUGGGUAAAGAAGCACCGGCUAACUACGUG
rnacentral:rRNA from 1 species